rnacentral:rRNA from 1 species
CCUACGGGUGGCUGCAGUGAGGAAUAUUGGUCAAUGGGAGAGAUCCUGAACCAGCCAAGCCGCGUGAGGGAAGACGGCCCUAUGGGUUGUAAACCUCUUUUGUCGGAGAACAAAACCCGGGACGUGUCCCGGACUGCGUGUCUCAGAAGAAAAAGCAUCGGCUAACUCCGUGCCAGCAGCCGCGGUAAUACGGAGGAUGCGAGCGUUGUCAGGAUGUAAUGGGUUUAAAGGGUGCGUAGGCGGUCCGUUAAGUCAGCGGUAAAAUUGCGGGGCUCAACCCCGUCGAGCCGUUGAAACUGGCAGGCUUGAGUUGGCGAGAGGUACGCGGAAUGCGCGGUGUAGCGGUGAAAUGCAUAGAUAUCGCGUAGAACUCCGAGUGCGAAGGCAGCGUACCGGCGCCAGACUGACGCUGAGGCACGAAAGCGUGGGGAUCGAACAGGAUUAGAUACCCGGGUAGUC